UUAUGUUUGAAAUAUAUUUCGGAAAAAAUCGUCCAAAGUUGCGGUGAUUCUCAUGAAAGUAAAUAAAAACUUUGGACAAAUCGUCCAAAGUUACGGUCAGCUUCUUCUUAUGAAAAUAAAUUAAAAACUUUGGACAAAGUCGUCCAAAGUUACGGUCAGCUACUUCUCAUGAAAACAAGUUGAAAACUUUGGACAGAGUCGUCCAAAGUUACGGUCAGCUACUUCUCAUAAAAACAA